rnacentral:misc_RNA from 1 species
GACAUUGCCAAGCUGAUUAAUCUCCAAUUAGAUCGAGAACUGAUCCUGCUCAUCCUUUCAUUCGUCUCGAAUAGAACCUACAGGAUUUUCGUCAGAGAUACUUUAUUUUCUUCCAGAAAAAUCCUAAACGGAGUGCCCUAGGGUUCGGUAUUUGGCUCUGUACUCUAUCUGUAUUAUGUAGCAGCCUGCCCUAGGGUGCAAUUUAACAACAAUGCAAUCCUAGCCUGUUAUGCGGAUGAUACCGCCUUGGCAGUAAAAUCAGCCAGCAUCAGCCCCGCCAUUAAAAUGCUGCAAGCCAUCAUUCCGAGUAUAGAACAGUGGUGUAGCUACUGGAAAAUACGUAGUAACCCCCAAAAGUCACAGCUCCUGCUAUCUAGAAGGAAAAAACCGAAUUUAAAGCCAAAGAAAAAUCUCUUCCUUUUCAACGAGCUGAUACCCAUUGCUCCAAAGGCUAAUUAUCUAAAAAUCAUCACUAAUGACAAACUCACGCGGUCACAACACUUUGAUCACGUGAGGAGCAAAGCAAUCAGAGUCAUAAAGUGCCUACUUCCCAUCACAGGGAAAUUCUCAAAGCUUGAUUUUUCAAAAAUCAUCUACACUUCAAGAAUUAGACCCUUGAUGACAUAUACUUCGCCAGCUUGGGCUGCUGCUAUUCCUUCGGAUAUGUGCAAGCUUCAGGUUGUGCAAAACAUAUUUUUAAGGAUCAGCACUAAUGCACACUAUUUUGUUCGAAAUAAACUUCUACAUGUUGACUUUAAACUGGAUAACUUUCUCAGGAAAGCUAACAAAAAAUUCAUCAAGAAUGCUCAAUUUUGUGACCAAAUGGACUUUUUUCGAACUUUUCACUAGGAAAUGCUCAACGAAGAUAGAUAUCUUCGCCCUCAUGCAGCCUUCAUCCUCAGUGAAAGCCAGGACUCACUUAUGAAAAGUUUUUGUACAGUUAUGACACUACUUUAUUCAGAUAUAUUUUAUUUUCAUAGUUUAACCUACCCAACCGCUUCAUAUGGAGAAUGAAGUUAGUUUUACUUUCAGACUAAAAGGAAAUAAAUUUUAUGAAUCUUAACUAGAUAAAUUUUAUGAGUGAAUUUGUAAUUUUACUUUCACGCCUGUUCAAUUUUGUGGUCUGUGUUGUCCAGUUGUCUAAUUAACAUCUGUGUGCACCAGUUGUCUAAUUAACGGAAUUUGUGAAAUUAUUAGCAGUGUGAUGCGCAUAUAACACCCACGCUAGUCCAACAAUGAAUAUGUCUACCAUUCAUAUUAGUCAUACUAGUUGUUCCCUUUGUCACGUGCUUCUUGAUCAGCGGCAUCCAAAUCUCCGCCUUGUCAGUUAUUUGAUGUGAACAUAUUGACGCAUCACUGCGUAUAAGCGUCUAUCUCUAACAACUUCCUUAAUUACACGAAAAUACUUCUAGCUGUUCAUUGUUAAUAAAAAUCGUAAACUAUAUCGUGGAAAUCAGAGAAAAUCAUUGUAAAUAAGUGAAGAAUAAAUUAUAUCGGCAAAGGCGAACGAUGAGUGUAGUGUUCAACGAAAACAACAUAAGAAUAACAGUUAACGUAUCCUUUGGGUUACCAGGUUUGAGCUGUUAUCGCUUUUUUUGGCGGUGUUUACAUUUUCGGAGUUCUUUGCGGGAGUGCUUUCCAGCGGGAAUGUUUUAACAUGAAUGAAUUGUUUUUAGAAGUUUCUUUUCUGUAAAUUUUGAUACUUGUCUUCAUCUGAGGCUGUGAGUAAGAUGUUUUCUAAUCGCUGGCGAUGGCCAAAAAAGCUUUUUCUCCUUUUCUCCUUUUUUCUUAUAGCAUUUUUUGGAACAAGGAUACUAUCAAAUAAAUUUCAUACCCUUUUAUCAUUUAUUUAUUAUUUAACAUUUCCGUCACAGUUACCUGUAACCACUUUUGUGAAAAAAGAACAUUUAGUAUCUGGAACUGCUACGCCAUGGGCUCCUAUAUUCAGUCAUUUAUAUUCGUGCCCUGUUUGUUUUGGAUAUGGAAUGUGUAAUGAAGUUAUGAAAGAUUCUGUUUUGUUUCAUGGUGAAUUGAGUAUGGCUCAUAAUACAAAAAUAAUGUGGAAAAAAGGAGUUCUGCGUACACAGAGAAUCUUAAUUAGUUCCCUUGUUACUGAGGAAUGGAACAAAUUUGAUGAAUUUAUAUGUAGGAAUGCUAGCCAAACUAUACCCUGUGAUUUGUCUGCUGCUAUUUGGAAAACUGUGUUUGCCAAUUCAAAUUUAUUAUCUACAGAAAACUUUAGGAAUUUAAAUGCUCUGCUUGACAUUCCUCUCUCUCAGCUUGCCCUACCAGUUUGCUCAAGUACUAAAUUAUUAAGUGAGCUUACAAAGAGCUUUGAUGAAAAUUUUGAUGGUCAUUUUAGUGGAGAAGAAAAAAUUUUGCUCCUUACUAGUCUUGUAAUGCAGCCAGGCUAUGUCAUUCUGAAGUUACAGGCAAAAACUAAGAUGACUAUGCCUAUACCAAAUUUACUUGGGGCAUGUGGACGUUCUGUUAUACUUGAAGGAGGCUUGAAACCUUUGAAAUCUUUUCUUUCGGAAUCAUUUGAUGCACGAGCAGGCUUGGCAAUUCAAGUCCUGCAGCUUGUUGAAGAUUUUGAGGAAGAAGAUCCCCAGUGGUACUUCAUUUAUUUAGGGUUUUCACUUGAUGGCAUAUUUGUUACUAAAGAGGGAGAAGUAGUAGUUAUGGAUUUGGAUAAUAUAGUUAUAUUGGACAAGUCCUCAUUUACUACAGAUUCAUUCAAGCUUUCAUCACAUACGGGCUUAUGUAAUGAAGUGUGUUUCCAAAAGAUUACUUUAGAGUUACUUUAUUAUCCAAAUAAUUCUUCAUGCAAUUUUAUAUCUGAAUACGGAUUAUUAAUGUAUGCUGUUGUUUGUAAGCAAGUCUUAUCAAACAUAGCUGAACAUAGAGCUGAAGGAUUUUUUAAUUUUGAUGGCUAUCGCAUUCAUAGGAAGCAAGAAAAUCCAGCAUACCAUGCCAAUGCCUUGUUUUAAAUAAAAGUGCACCGGACAAAGGUGCACAUGAUUAAAGCCCAGAUAUGCAUAUUAAAAAAACAUUGUCAAGAUUGCCCACAUAACAAAUAUCCACAUGGAUGGAAUUAAAGCACCCAUUGAUGAAAGUCCACACUGGUGGAAGCCCACAUGUCUUUUACAUUCCAUUCCUCAUAAAAUAAAGGAACGUAUGGAAGAUUUAUUGAGGGAAUGUGUCCAGGAGACAAAACUGAAUGGCAGAAGGAAAGCUAUAACUGAAUUAAGAGAUAUGCUAGAAAAUUAUGUU